rnacentral:lncRNA from 1 species
AGGUGACAGGAGGCUCCAUCCCAGGCACAUUCCCGGUGAAAGGGCAUUUUAUCCAGGGUGAAGAACACGUGCUACUGUCUACAGAGUGCGUCCACGUACGUCACCUCUUCUCAUCGCCACAGCAUCCCUUUGAGGCAGCCACGUAAGGCCAAAGUUCUUGUCCCCAGAUUUUUAGAAAUUGUUCCAGGGUCUCAGUAGUAACCCUUGCAGGCACCGCUGGCCCAGGAUCUGGACAAUUCUAGAGGCAGGAAGCACAGAGACGAAGAAGGGGACUCACUGCCUGACCGCAGAGAAACGAGCUGUGCCUUUUGACCAGAUGGAGAAACCAAGGCACAGAGCCCAACUGGGACGCAGUGAAAUCGAGAUUUGAACGCAGGCAGUCUAGCUGCAGAGUUCUUGCUUGCCCGCUGUGCUACACUGGCUAGGCUGGAAACAAGGCACGGGGAGACUUGGGGCCUCAGCUGGAAAAAUGGCCCUAAGCUCUUUCUAACACAGUGGAAAGUGCACAGGCCCUGGGGUCCUACUUUGGCUUUUCUUAAACUGCAGGUAAAGGUCCAAGUCUAUAUUCAUAUCUGUAAAAGCUUCAUAGCUAUGUCAGUGGUCACAGUGAGAAAGAAAGCAAAUUAUCACACAAGGAAAGGCAUGUGGUCUACAGUGGGCACACUAGAAGCAUCUCCUGAAGCUCAGCCUUUCCCUGGCUGGGGACCCCUCUUCGCUCACCCAACUUGGUCUCUUGGGAUAAGAAAAUGUGUGCAGACCUUUCAGUCCACUCAGUAAGGCAUGAUCCUAAAC